GAAUGCUGACAUAAGUAACGAUAAAGCGGGUGAAAAGCCCGCUCGCCGGAAGACCAAGGGUUCCUGUCCAACGUUAAUCGGGGCAGGGUGAGUCGACCCCUAAGGCGAGGCCGAAAGGCGUAGUCGAUGGGAAACGGGUUAAUAUUCCCGUACUUGGUGUUACUGCGAAGGGGGGACGGAGAAGGCUAUGUUGGCCGGGCGACGGUUGUCCCGGUUUAAGCGUGUAGGUGUGUGUUCCAGGUAAAUCCGGUUCACUUUAACACUGAGGCGUGACGACGAGGCACUACGGUGCUGAAGCAACAAAUGCCCUGCUUCCAGGAAAAGCCUCUAAGCAUCAGGUAACAUCAAAUCGUACCCCAAACCGACACAGGUGGUCAGGUAGAGAAUACCAAGGCGCUUGAGAGAACUCGGGUGAAGGAACUAGGCAAAAUGGUGCCGUAACUUCGGGAGA
rnacentral:rRNA from 1 species